CCUACGGGGGGCAGCAGUGAGGAAUAUUGGUCAAUGGGCGGGAGCCUGAACCAGCCAAGUCGCGUGAGGGAUGACGGCCCUAUGGGUUGUAAACCUCUUUUGCCGGGGAGCAAAGUGCCGCACGUGUGCGGUUUGGAGAGUACCCGGAGAAAAAGCAUCGGCUAACUCCGUGCCAGCAGCCGCGGUAAUACGGAGGAUGCGAGCGUUAUCCGGAUUUAUUGGGUUUAAAGGGUGCGUAGGCGGUUUGUCAAGUCAGCGGUAAAAAUUCCGGGCUCAACCCGGUCCCGCCGUUGAAACUGGCGAAC
rnacentral:rRNA from 1 species